GUCUCUGUGGCGCAAUCGGUUAGCGCGUUCGGCUGUUAACCGAAAGGUUGGUGGUCAAAGCCCACCCAGGGACG
rnacentral:tRNA from 1 species